rnacentral:rRNA from 1 species
CAGUCGCCGCGGGAAUACAGAGGGUGCAAGCGUUAAUCGGAGUUACUGGGCGUAAAGGGCGCGUAGGCGGUUAUAUAAGUGAGAUGUGAAAUCCCUGGGCUUAACCUAGGAACUGCAUCUUAUACUGUAUGGCUAGAGUAUUGUAGAGGGUAGUGGAAUUUCCGGUGUAGCGGUGAAAUGCGUAGAGAUCGGAAGGAACACCAGUGGCGAAGGCGGCUACCUGGACAAAUACUGACGCUGAGGCGCGAAAGCGUGGGGAGCAAACAGGAUUAGAUACCCCUGUAGUCCCUGUCUCUUAUAC